UACGGGGGGGGGCAAGCGUUGUUCGGAAUUACUGGGCGUAAAGGGCCAGUAGGCGGCCAACUAAGUCCGACGUGAAAUCCCCAGGCUUAACCUGGGAACUGCGUCGGAUACUGGAUGGCUUGAAUUCGGGAGAGGGAUGCAGAAUUCCAGGUGUAGCGGUGAAAUGCGUAGAUAUCUGGAGGAAUACCGGUGGCGAAGGCGGCAUCCUGGACCGAGAUUGACGCUGAACGGCGAAAGCUAGGGGAGCAAACGGG
rnacentral:rRNA from 1 species